UACGUAGGGUGCGAGCGUUAAUCGGAAUUACUGGGCGUAAAGCGUGCGUAGGCGGUCCGCGAAGUCUGAUGUGAAAGCCCCGGGCUCAACCUGGGAACUGCAUUGGAAACUAACGGGCUCGAGUGUGGCAGAGGGGGGUGGAAUUCCACGUGUAGCGGUGAAAUGCGUAGAGAUGUGGCGGAACACCGAUGGCGAAGGCAGCCCCCUGGGCUGAGAUUGACGCUCAGGCACGAAAGCGUGGGGAGCAAACAGG
rnacentral:rRNA from 1 species